GAUGAAGAACGCAGCGAAAUGCGAUAAGUAAUGCGAAUUGCAGAAUUCAGUGAGUCAUCGAAUCUUUGAACGCACAUUGCGCCCCUUGGUAUUCCAUGGGGCAUGCCUGUUCGAGCGUCAUUUGUACCUUCAAGCUUUGCUUGGUGUUGGGUGUUUGUCCUGAGGGACUCGCCUUAAAGUAAUUGGCAGCCAGUGUUUGGUUUUGAAGCGCAGCACAAGUCGCGAUUCAAAGCUAUACGCCCGCUUCCACAAGCCUUUUUCACUUUUGACCUCGGAUCAGGUAGGGAUACCCGCUGAACUUAAGCAUAUCAAUAAGCGGAGGA
rnacentral:misc_RNA from 1 species